CUACGGGGGGCUGCAGUGGGGAAUAUUGCACAAUGGGCGCAAGCCUGAUGCAGCAACGCCGUGUGAGUGAAGAAGGCCUUCGGGUUGUAAAACUCUGUCCUAAGGGAAGAAACAAAUGACGGUACCUUAGGAGGAAGCCCCGGCUAACUACGUGCCAGCAGCCGCGGUAAUACGUAGGGGGCAAGCGUUAUCCGGAAUCACUGGGCGUAAAGGGUGCGUAGGCGGCCUGGCAAGUCAGAGGUGAAAGGCAUUGGCUCAACCAAUGUAAGCCUUUGAAACUGUUGGGCUUGAGUGCAGGAGAGGUAAGUGGAAUUCCUAGUGUAGAGGUGAAAUUCGUAGAUAUUAGGAGGAACACCCGUGGCGAAGGCGACUUACUGGACUGUAACUGACGCUGAGGCACGAAAGCGUGGGGAGCGAACAGGAUUAGAUACCCUAGUAGUC
rnacentral:rRNA from 1 species